rnacentral:rRNA from 1 species
UACGUAGGGGGCUAGCGUUGUCCGGAAUCAUUGGGCGUAAAGAGCUUGUAGGCGGCCCGGUAAGUCCGCUGUGAAAGUCGGGGGCUCAACCCUCGGAUGCCGGUGGAUACUGUCGGGCUCGAGUACGGAAGAGGCGAGUGGAAUUCCUGGUGUAGCGGUGAAAUGCGCAGAUAUCAGGAGGAACACCUAUUGCGAAGGCAGCUCGCUGGGACGUUACUGACGCUGAGACGCGAAAGCGUGGGGAGCAAACAGG